UUUUUUAUUUUUUUUAAUUUUUUUUUUUUUUUGCCAAAUUUGAAUAUUUGGAAGUGUUUCAGCUCACAGAUUAAGCAGGAGCGCCUUCCCAAGAUGACAUUGCAGGUGUAGGGAGGUACAGGACCGGGGUAGGCGCUGCGUAUGGGUUUGGCAUAUGGCACCCCUUGUUUUUAUUUUCAUUACCGUGAUAUGUUUCCAGGAAGAUUAACGAGUAUUUGGCCACAAUUAAACACGGGCGUCUCAAACUUUUGCAGAUUCAGGUAACUGCUAGCUGGACUGAUGUUGGUCAAGAUCAGAAGGGGAGCUUCCCAAAUGGGAAGGAGGUUUAAAGGAGCAGAGGUGCCCACGUCCGGUGUUGGCCGCUGUCCCCGGAUGCGCUGUAUCGCCUGGUUACCACCUCUUCGGGCACCUGCGAAGACGGCAAGGUUUCCUCCUUGAAGGCCUGGCUGGGGGACCCAGGGAGAAGCACCCCUGACGCCCUGUAUUUUAAUACUUGGAAUUAGAAAUCGUGUAUUCCUCUUGGUGCGCAGCUUGUGAGAGAGCCUUCUCGGUGAUUAGCUAGGGAGGUACUUUUUCUCUUCGUGUGUUUUCAAAGUAGCAUUUAUGUGACCAUGUGGUUAUCCUCUGGGGACCCUGGGCGUUAACUCUAGGAGGCCCGAAGCCCACAGGUGACACUCCGGAGGGGAUCCCUGAAGAAGAGAAGCGAAGGCGCCCCUAUCCUGCGCUUGGCUGUGGCUCCUGGGUUGAUGCAGAACCACGUGGUUGGCCUAGGAGCGGGGACUGCACUGUGCAGAAGACGUCCAGGACCCUUUGAGCCUUGGGAACUUGGGUCGAAAAGACUGGAUCGCCUGCGCUCACAACGCUGGCGAGGACGAAGACAUCGAUAGGAAGUCUAGAUUCCGUGAAUCAGACUGGCCUCUGUUCUGUCUACGUUUCAUGGGAAGCCAGGCCCACGAAGGCUGGUGGAACCUUGGGGGGCGGGUAUUAGGGAUAUAUUGGCCACUCCUCUAGGUUCCUGGCACGUUCCACGGCUGUGCACUGACCUCCUCGGGGGCCACCUCGCCUUCAGCAGCUGCAGCUUGGUGCGCGACCGGACGACCCGGCCUCUGUUACGGAGUGGCAUAUGCAUGCUUGGGAGCGUGGAACUAGAAGAUUGAUUUAGGGGGUCCCCACCCCUGCUGACACACACACACACAUGACUGAUGAUCUCUCUGAAAAUCACUGGACUCUGCGUAUUCAACACUAGAGUUAGUAACCUCAGCUCCUGGGGUCCUGCCCAGGAAUCUUUAAAAUCAUUUCCACAAUACAGCUGUAUCAUCAAAUGAAAUCUAUAUUUUAUAUAUAUACACACACACAUAGACAUAUAUAUAACAUAUAUAGUUAGAUAGUUAUAUGAAUUAAUAUAGAGAGAAUAUAUAUAUAUAUUAGUUAUAUUAGUUCUCAUAUAUAUGAGAACUAAUUACCAAGGGUUGCAGCCGGAUGUAUUUUGACACUUUCUCUAGAAAGAAAUGAAUCCUGGAGAUCGUAGCCUUUACAUCUUAGAGAAAUUCCAAGUCAAUUGAUGUAUCACAAUAGUUUGCUCGGGAGUAAAAAACUCAGUAAUCAUUAUUUCAGUUCGGACUUGUGGGUCUUUAGGAUACCGAACUCUAGAGCCGUAAGUUUAAUUAAUCUAACCUGUAGUAGAGUGAGUAAGCUUUCAAAUUUCUUUUUUCUUUUUUCUUUUUUUUUUAGCUUUCAAAUUUCUUACUACUGUCUUGUUCUCUAAGGAGGAUUUUUUUUUUUUUUUUAAACUUCUCUGGGCCUGAAUUUUCUCAAUUCUGUAAUUGAACAAAAACUGAGGAACAACAUUGCAGAAAUAUUGUAGUGAUGGGGGGAAAAAAAACCUGGUAAGACCCUGGGCGUUUUAAAGAACGUGGAAAGACUUUUUAAAGCAGUAAACCAAGACAAUUGCAAACUGUAUAGAUAAUUACAUGUUUAGUGCAGCGUGAAGCUUCACUAUUAGAACUCCGUUUCUGCUUGUGCUAAUAGGUGGCGUCGCAUCUUUUUUUGUUGUUUUUUUGUUUGUUUUUGUCUCUGGGCUCUGAAGAUUGAAGUGGACUAUUAAUUGCCAAGAAGGACAUAAGUGAGUAUAUUUCUGCUUUUAAAUUUAACUACACCAAUAACAGACGCGUACUUACUUAGUAGAGGGUGUUUGGUUAUAAUUGAGCACAUGUAGCUGCCGUAAGCUUCUUCUAGGGUUUUACAUUUGGGAGCUGGUCUAGUCAAUCAUUUUUAGAUGAUUCUCCUGAUUGCCAGGCACAAAUGAAAGAGCGAAGGAGUUAAACAAUUGAGCAUUCUGGGUGGGCUGGGAACAAAUUCAUGCACAUUCUUCUCAAGAGAAAAGUCACACAUUUCCUAAUCCUUGAGGUUUCUUGGACUCCCAUGCUAUUUCCUCUAGUCCAAAAGUAAGAUGUUUUCAUUUUUUCCCCAUUCUUUUCUUUCUCCCCCCUCUCCACUCCCCCCCAACCCCAUAAGAGGUGUGGUGGGUCUGCUAGGACCAGAGGCUAAGCACACAGCAGUUUAAAACCAUGAAACAAGCAAAAAUCUUUAUUUCAGCUUCCAGAAUCCUUCUCCAACCUUUCUGUUAAUGGAAUAAGGAAGCCAUUAAAAGAGUGAUGUAAGGAAGUCCCAUCGAGUUGUUUCCGUGGGAAAUGAGGAAGCAGAAGCAGGCAGGUGUAGAGCGAGCGCUCAGCCCUUCCCACGCUCACCAAAGUGGGGGAGUCUCUCCCAAGGCCACUCAACAUUGAUUCCCCGGAGCCUUUGGAAAGGACAGAGACGAAACACAGCCACACUUCACGGACAGUGCUAGGCAUUUGUGAAAACUCAGGGCAAAUAGCAACAUUUUAUUUUUAUUUUUAUUUUUAAAAUUUUUAUUUAUUUAUGAUAGUCACAGAGAGAGAGAGAGAGAGAGAGAGGCAGAGACACGCAGAGACACAGGCAGAGGGAGAAGCAGGCUCCAUGCACCGGGAGCCCGACGUGGGAUUCGAUCCCGGGUCUCCAGGAUCGCGCCCUGGGCCAAAGGCAGGUGCCAAACCGUUGCGCCACCCAGGGAUCCCAAAUAGCAACAUUUUAGUUGAUGUUUUUGUUGCAAAGGAAAUGCAGUCUAUUUGGAUGAGCCUGGUUAAAUGCGGAGCGAUCUGCCCAAAAGCUCACACACAUGUAUUUGCUUAAAGGAACUUUACUGCUGGAUGUAAUAGGAUUCACCCCACAGGGAGGGACAGAUGAACUCAAGGGAUGUAGUGGAAAACCUGGAAGACUUACCUCCCCUAUGUUUCCCUUCCCUGGCUGCCUUCACCGUAGGAAGAAAAAAGCAGGUGAACACACACACGUACUCGCUCCUUUGAACAGAGUCGCAGGGUUUUGGGGAUACCUGUCUCACAACUGCAAAGCUAACCAGCUCUUUGCCACCCCCUCGUAUCAUCAUCCCGCGUCAUUUCAGCAUCUUGCGACUUUGGCCAGUGUUUUCAGGUGGGUAACAAGCAAAAAUCCAAACAUACGAGAAGUGGACUUUUCUUUUAAAGUCCAUUUGUAUCUAUUCUUGCUGCUGUGGAUAAAGACCAACAAGGAGCCUCUGCUCCCCUCGGGCGGCCGAACUCUGCAGCUGUUCUGGGGUGUGCAGUCCCACAGCGCGCCAUAAAUCUCCACUAGAUGUCAGUGUGUCACUAAGUGAAACGGGUUCCGCAUGCUUUCCCGAUGGGUUCUUGGAGCAUUACUGGAAGGGUGAACCCAUUUAUAACUGUUCAUCGGAACGAGACAGAGACCUUUUAGUGUGCAGGUUAGUAAUGAGUUGUGUGCCCUAAUCACUGUGAGUUGAUUAAGGCGAGUUCUCUUAUUUAAGAAAUCUAGUACCUGGUUUUUACCUGAGGAUUUUCUUCCGUUGUAUUUUGGUUUUGCCAUCAUAUCCUCAAAGAGACAGAAGGCAAAUAUCCAUUUCACGUUUUCCAGUGGUGUUAACCGGCAGAGGGCAAAAGGGUUGGCCCAGCAUCACACGCUGGUCAUCUCAUGGGCCCAGGCUGGUUUUCUGCGAUCGCAGAACCUACCCACCUAAACCGUGCUGCGGAGGGGUGAAGUGUACGUAGCUGCAGAUUCCCCUUGCCUGCUGCUUGUAUGAGCUACCUUGCCUCUCAGACAAGUUCAAGGAGAGUGCAAUGAUAAAGAGCCACUGUGGCUGCUGCUUAGGUUAGUAUGGGGCUGUCAGACGUGUGAUUUGAAGGUUUUAGCGAGACCGUACACAGACGACGCGCCAAACAGCCAAGGCCCCAGCAGCCUAGAUGCCUCGCAUCCCCGUUUUAGAGCAGAUGAACCCAGGCUAAGGUGAGCCUCAUCUUUAGUUCAUGUACUCAGGUGGAGAAGGCAAGAGAGGCAGUUGCGGUUUCGUCAUCAAGUUCUAAGCUCUUGGGUAUUUGGGGAUUGCGAGGCAUAGUGUAGGUGUUACACUGGGUGAUUUCCUAAAAGAGGAGUCUGCCUAUAGUCCUGGACAUGAGUAUUUAAAUAGUGGUUUUCCCCCAAAUUGUGUAAAUACGCCAGUUAUAACCACGUAAAAGUUAUAUUUGUGGAUAAAGAUCUGAAGCAUCCGCAGAGAAGAUGGGAGGGUGGCGGAUUUGUGGGUCAAUUUAACCUUUUCCCUUCGUGCAGUAAUAUUGUUUUUAUGAUAAAUAAAAAUAGAGAAAAAAUGAAAUCGA
rnacentral:lncRNA from 1 species